CCUCAUAUGAGAAAUCCUGUGACUGGAGGAAUUCAGUUACGUAUGACAUCCAGAAUAGGCUAAGGCCUCCUAAACUAUUUUUUAUACAUCUGUGGACCUACAGAGGCUUUGGGGGGUCAUCAUGAAGUCCUUCCUUUUAUAUAUGAGGAAAUUGAGGCAAGGAUAAGGUAAACCACUGGAUAAUAGUUAGAAGUGAAGUUAAAUCCUAGAUCACACUUGAUGGAUUCUCUCAGAUUGUUGGCCCAAUGCCUUCAUAUCAGAAUCUCUUUCAACUCUGGCUUCACUUUCUUUGUCCCCUCCCACCAUUCAUUUUGGCCACUGCAUAUACAUUUGAUACGUGGUAAUCUCAACAACAAAUGCUUUGGACAUCAAGCUUUGGGGAUCCAUCCCAGACUUCAAGCACAUUAGGCCAGUACCUCUACCUCUGAACUACAUCCUCAACUCAUAGGAGAAACUCCUUCUCAGCUACAGCUAUAAAAAGGAACUUUCAUAGGUCAAUAGGCUGGUACUCAUUUUUCUUUAUUUUUUAAAGAUUCUCAAUGUGCUUUUAAGAAUAAAAGAAAAUGCCAAUAA